GGCAAUCUGCCCUUCACUCUGGGACAAGCCCUGGAAACGGGGUCUAAUACCGGAUAACACUCUGUCCCGCAUGGGACGGGGUUAAAAGCUCCGGCGGUGAAGGAUGAGCCCGCGGCCUAUCAGCUUGUUGGUGGGGUAAUGGCCUACCAAGGCGACGACGGGUAGCCGGCCUGAGAGGGCGACCGGCCACACUGGGACUGAGACACGGCCCAGACUCCUACGGGAGGCAGCAGUGGGGAAUAUUGCACAAUGGGCGAAAGCCUGAUGCAGCGACGCCGCGUGAGGGAUGACGGCCUUCGGGUUGUAAACCUCUUUCAGCAGGGAAGAAGCGAAAGUGACGGUACCUGCAGAAGAAGCGCCGGCUAACUACGUGCCAGCAGCCGCGGUAAUACGUAGGGCGCAAGCGUUGUCCGGAAUUAUUGGGCGUAAAGAGCUCGUAGGCGGCUUGUCACGUCGGAUGUGAAAGCCCGGGGCUUAACCCCGGGUCUGCAUUCGAUACGGGCUAGCUAGAGUGUGGUAGGGGAGAUCGGAAUUCCUGGUGUAGCGGUGAAAUGCGCAGAUAUCAGGAGGAACACCGGUGGCGAAGGCGGAUCUCUGGGCCAUUACUGACGCUGAGGAGCGAAAGCGUGGGGAGCGAACAGGAUUAGAUACCCUGGUAGUCCACGCCGUAAACGUUGGGAACUAGGUGUUGGCGAC
rnacentral:rRNA from 1 species